rnacentral:rRNA from 1 species
AUUGAACGCUGGCGGCAGGCCUAACACAUGCAAGUCGAGCGGAUGAAGGGAGCUUGCUCCUGGAUUCAGCGGCGGACGGGUGAGUAAUGCCUAGGAAUCUGCCUGGUAGUGGGGGAUAACGUCCGGAAACGGGCGCUAAUACCGCAUACGUCCUGAGGGAGAAAGUGGGGGAUCUUCGGACCUCACGCUAUCAAAUGAGCCUAGGUCGGAUUAGCUAGUUGGUGGGGUAAAGGCCUACCAAGGCGACGAUCCGUAACUGGUCUGAGAGGAUGAUCAGUCACACUGGAACUGAGACACGGUCCAGACUCCUACGGGAGGCAGCAGUGGGGAAUAUUGGACAAUGGGCGAAAGCCUGAUCCAGCCAUGCCGCGUGUGUGAAGAAGGUCUUCGGAUUGUAAAGCACUUUAAGUUGGGAGGAAGGCAGUAAGUUAAUACCUUGCUGUUUUGACGUUACCAACAGAAUAAGCACCGGCUAACUUCGUG